rnacentral:rRNA from 1 species
UACGUAGGGUGCGAGCGUUAAUCGGAAUUACUGGGCGUAAAGCGUGUGCAGGCGGUCUGUUAAGUCAGGUGUGAAAUCCCCGGGCUUAACCUGGGAAUUGCGCUUGUUACUGGCAGACUAGAGUGCGUCAGAGGGAGGUGGAAUUCCACGUGUAGCAGUGAAAUGCGUAGAGAUGUGGAGGAACACCGAUGGCGAAGGCAGCCUCCUGGGAUGACACUGACGCUCAUACACGAAAGCGUGGGGAGCAAACAGG